rnacentral:rRNA from 1 species
UACAUGGGGUGCAAACGUUGCUCGGAAUUAUUGGGCGUAAAGCGCACGUAGGCGGUUUGUUAAGUCGGAUGUGAAAUCCCUCGGCUCAACUGAGGAAGUGCAUCCGAAACUGGCAAGCUUGAGUACGAAAGAGGGUCGCGGAAUUCCCGGUGUAGAGGUGAAAUUCGUAGAUAUCGGGAGGAACACCGGUGGCGAAGGCGGCGACCUGGGUCGAUACUGACGCUCAUGUGCGAAAGCGUGGGGAGCAAACAGG